rnacentral:rRNA from 1 species
UACAGAGGGUGCAAGCGUUGUUCGGAAUUAUUGGGCGUAAAGGGCGCGUAGGCGGUGCCACAAGUCACCGUGUGAAACUCUCCGGGCUUAACUCGGAGCCUGCAGGCGAAACUGUGGUGCGUGGAGUGUGGGAGAGGUGCGUGGAAUUCCCGGUGUAGCGGUGAAAUGCGUAGACUAGUCGGGAGGAACACCUGUGGCGAAAGCGGCGACACUGGCUCGUAACUGACGCUCAUGCACGACAGCGUGGGGAUCAAACAGGAU